AACGAACGCUGGCGGCAGGCCUAACACAUGCAAGUCGAACGCCGUAGCAAUACGGAGUGGCAGACGGGUGAGUAACGCGUGGGAACAUGCCCUUCGGUUCGGAAUAACUCAGGGAAACUUGAGCUAAUACCGAAUACGUCCAAGGAAACUUGGAGAAAGAUUUAUCGCCGGAGGAUUGGCCCGCGUCUGAUUAGCUUGUUGGUGGGGUAAUGGCUCACCAAGGCGACGAUCAGUAGCUGGUCUGAGAGGAUGAUCAGCCACAUUGGGAUUGAGACACGGCCCAAACUCCUACGGGAGGCAGCAGUGGGGAAUAUUGGACAAUGGGCGCAGGCCUGAUCCAGCCAUGCCGCGUGAGUGAUGAAGGCCCUAGGGUUGUAAAGCUCUUUUGCCCGGGGAGAUAAUGACGGUACCGGGAGAAUAAGCCCCGGCUAACUUCGUGCCAGCAGCCGCCGUAAUAC
rnacentral:rRNA from 1 species